rnacentral:tRNA from 2 species
GGGGAGCUUAGCUCAAUAGUAGAGUACUCGAUUGACAUUCGAGGGGUAGAUGGAGCGUAACCAACAUUCCCCACCA